AUUGAACGCUGGCGGCAGGCCUAACACAUGCAAGUCGAGCGGCAGCGGAAAGUAGCUUGCUACUUUGCCGGCGAGCGGCGGACGGGUGAGUAAUGUCUGGGAAACUGCCUGAUGGAGGGGGAUAACUACUGGAAACGGUAGCUAAUACCGCAUGACCUCGAAAGAGCAAAGUGGGGGAUCUUCGGACCUCACGCCAUCGGAUGUGCCCAGAUGGGAUUAGCUAGUAGGUGAGGUAAUGGCUCACCUAGGCGACGAUCCCUAGCUGGUCUGAGAGGAUGACCAGCCACACUGGAACUGAGACACGGUCCAGACUCCUACGGGAGGCAGCAGUGGGGAAUAUUGCACAAUGGGCGCAAGCCUGAUGCAGCCAUGCCGCGUGUGUGAAGAAGGCCUUAGGGUUGUAAAGCACUUUCAGCGAGGAGGAAGGCAUCACACUUAAUACGUGUGGUGAUGACGU
rnacentral:rRNA from 1 species